UGAAUGAAUAAUAAUGCAUUAUAUUUUAAUUGUAAUAUUUUGUGAGUAAAAUCUGGAUCUCCAAUUUAACCAGUAACAUUUCUAUGUCAGGUAAAUGUAGUAGGACAAUGUUAACCGAGAAGUUG